UCACUAUUAUCGGCUGAAUCAUUCUAUGGGACUUGCCAGAUCGCCAACCCAAGCAUGGACCAAUUUCUCAUUCCAUCUUCUAGACAACCUUACAUAACCGAUUGGUGGUUUAGUGUGUUUUAGGUUUCUAAUGUAGCAUGAUAGACUUUAUGAGAAGUCAUGUUUGAAGAAAAAGGACUACACAGUCGACAAGGUUCUUUGCUAACCCGUUGGCUGCUACCCUUGAAUCUCCCUGUUUACUUCCUUACACUGGUCCUCUUGAUUUGAGGGUAAUCCUUCGCUACUGAUCACACCCACUGGUGAAAACCGACGAGAGAAUGCUGUAAUCCAAGACUGAUACAUUGUGUAGUUGUUAGAUAAAUGACGAGUGCAUAU